GACUGCAUGGCUCAGAGGUGAGAGCACUGGUCUUGUAAACCAGGGGUCACAAGUUUGAUCCUUGGCUGGGGGCU